rnacentral:rRNA from 1 species
UACGGAGGGUGCGAGCGUUAAUCGGAAUUACUGGGCGUAAAGGGUGCGUAGGUGGUUUGAUAAGUUAUCUGUGAAAUCCCUGGGCUUAACCUGGGCAGGUCAGAUAAGACUGUUGAACUCGAGUAUAGGAGAGGGUAGUGGAAUUUCCGGUGUAGCGGUGAAAUGCGUAGAGAUCGGAAGGAACACCAGUGGCGAAGGCGGCUACCUGGCCAGAUACUGACACUGAGGCACGAAAGCGUGGGGAGCAAACAGG